ensembl:lncRNA
CCCCCGUUCAAAUUUGCAUGAAAAAGGAGAAAGAAAACCUGUUUUUGCUAGUCUAGGCAAUACAGUGUGCCAGAAGCUAAUGAGACAUGAAUAAGGCCAGAAAUGCACAUCUUUUCACUUCUUUAAACUUUCUGUCUUUCAGCUGCUUCUGACUUUUCCUCAGAUAUCAGCACAACUUUACUGUGCUGACAAAGUCUAUGUGUGUUCAUACGGCUAGAAAACACCAAAAAUCCCUUGUUUCAUCCUUUUUUUCCCCUUCCAAUCUAAAUGUAUGGCUCAAGGUGAGAAACUGAAUUGUCUAUUUUCACAGUACUAAAUGGCAUUAUAAAAAAGGGAAGUGAAACUCUUCAGACAGUAUACUCUAGCAAGGUUUUAUUCUUGUUCUUCUGUUUUUCAGUAUUACUCUCAAUAAUAUUUUCUACAAGGGACAGUGAAACUUUAAGAAUUUGAUCCAGCACUGAGAUUAUUCCAACAUUAAGACAGCAUUUUUAUAGGCUAUUUGAGCCAUUCCCAAUGCAGGCUUCUCAGCUCUGCCCACUGCCAGACACAUUCUCUUUUCUAGGCAAUAGAUCAUGGAUUUAUCCCACCAAACAAGAAAAUUUGACUUAGAGAAGUCACAGCCUUGCUCACUGUAGAAAUAUGCAAAUACAAUACCAGUUGUGAGAUCAAUAUUCAUUAAAAAGAUUGUUUCAAAAUAAAGAAAAAUAUCCACCUAAAUUAGCUCAAAUUCCACCCUUAUAGAGAAGUCCAAUAACAUGUUCAUUUUAAAAUAGCCUACAUAAAUGAGAGACUUACAAAGGAAAACUGAUUCAAAGCCUUACUCACUUUUUUCCACUGAAAAUCUUCAAGAAGCUCUGCAUUUACUGUUUGAAGAGUAAGUCCAUUAAACAACCUCAAGUGCUUGGGUGCACAUACUUAUACAAAACUCUGAUAAGUUCAUCCAUUUUAUUACUUUUGACUUAUAUAGGAAAUCGAAGAGACUCCAAAGUAAUAAUAAAGAUGAAUUCCUUCCUCACCACUCGAAAGAAAUCCAAAGAGUAAUUCUAAAUUCUCCUUUGAACACACCUCGAACAAGGCCUGUAAUUUCUCCUGUUGCUCUGGAAGGAUAAAAUACAAUAUUUUACAACAUAAUACAAUUCAUUACAAAAUUAAUUAUAUAUAUAUAUUUAAUCAUUACUCUGAGAAAACAUGCUAUGAGAUUCUAGUAACUGAUCUGGCAGGUGAUCUUCAUGUAAGAGGUAAAGAAAAACAGCAUUUACUUAACUGAUAACUAAAGCUAACAGAAUAAGAAAAUCUGACUCAAUAUUGCUCACAAUCAACAAGACAGGAAUAAUGGAUUGCUUAGACCCUUCGUUCUACCACUGAUGCCUCUUUGGAUCCUUAUGAGCAUCAUGUAAGAAUUUCACUGGUCAUCACUGAGAAGCUGCACAAGGUUUGAUGCUGACCCCUGUAUAACUCUGGUGCAAUUCACCACCAAUUAAUUCAGUAUCAUAUAAUCAUGUAAUCAUAGAAUCAUACAAUGGCCUGGGUUGAAAAUGACCACAAUGAUCAUCGAGUUUUAACCCCCCUGCUAUGUGCAGCAUCACCAACCAGCAGACCAGGCUGCCCAGAGCCACAUCCAGCCUGGCCUUGAAUGCCUGCAGGGAUAGGGCAUCCACAACCUCCUUGGGAAACCUGUUCCAAUGUGUCACCACCCUCUGAGUAUCCAUUAUGAGAAUCCAACUGUUCAUAAACUACAUAGGUCGCUCUAAAAGUAAUGCAUAUAUUUCCAUGGAAGGUACAAUGCAUACAAAGAACAAAAUAACACUAUUGAAUAGAGUGAAUUUUCAGCUACAAAAAACAAUCAUCACCAUUAGCAGAAUGUGUGGAUGAGCUGAUUGAGACUGUCUUCAGUUCAUGGUCUGACAGCUGUGCAUGGCUGUCUAGAACAUGGUUUGUAUUUCAUGUCAUUAUCACCACUGCAGAAAUACAAAACCCACCCCUUGUUGUGCUCAAACCCACUGUUUGGUCUCCAUAAACAUUCCGUAAGCAUCAAUGAAUGUCAGUAGGUGCUGCUUUUUCUUCAAGGAAGAAUUCAAUUACACACCUUUGCUCCAUACCCAUUUCCAUGUCAGAUGCCGUACUUUCAGACUGUCUUUCUGCUGUUGUCUGUCACACAGAACAAAAUGUAGCAGGAUAUUGGUGGGAAGACUCAGUAUCUACUGUCAUCCCACUGACAUCUGCCUCUGACGUCGUGGCCCAAGACAAUAAAAUAGAAGGCAUUACUUUUGGAGCAUCCUUUGCAGUAGAAAUGCACGAUGUGCAGCCCACUCCCCUUCCCUGGCAAAGGGUAGAAGAUUUUUCUGCACUUUGGCCAUUUUUACUCUCAUCCAUCACAGCUACUGUCAGCAGGAUGCAACAUUUUCUUUAGAAUGGAAUUAAAAUCUGAAUUUUCAUGAUGAUCCCUUGAGCGAUGAGGUAAACUCAGACCAGAAGUGUCGCUUAUCCUAUUGGUAACCAGAGCUGCAGUUUGCAGUUUACUAUAACUGCAAAUGGUGGGUAUUAAGGAGGAUUAAAAUAAAUACUUGGAGUGUGCAGAGCCCCCUCAGCAUCAUGACCUGAUGAACGCUGUUUCUCUGUAGUUGAUUAAACACAGAUUGAACUGCUAGCUGUUCCGUGCUUCCAUUGGCUCACUCUUCUUCAGAUGCACUAAUCUUGGAAAAAGCUGCCCACACCCUAAACUUUAUACCCCACAAUUUUGGCUUUGAUUUCACUGGAAUUAGCACACGAGGGAAGGUACAAGUUAUAUUCUUUCCAUGGUCUCAUGAGUGAUAUUAUUAUUUCAAGGCCAGGCUGGAUGUGGCUCUGGGCAGCCUGGUCUGCUGGUUGGUGACCCUGCACAUAGCAGAGGGUUGGAACGAGAUGAGCAUUGUGGUCCUUUUCAACCCAGGCCAUUCUAUAAUUCUAUGAUUUUAUGAUUAGGAUCAGGCUUGAGUCCUCAUGAUCUUUGUCAGAUGAUGGAGCCUCAUCCUAACACGACUGUCAGCAGCUCAUUUCUCUGUGCCUUACUCAACAACCCCCAGAUCCACUGCAAAUUCAGUAGGAAUGACCAAACCCAUGAGCAACACCAAUUUAUCACCUCCAACUUGCUCCUUCAUGAAAACGCCAACCAACCAGCCAACCUCGGAGCAGUCCCGGCCAACCCAAACGAUGCCAUGCAACUGCCGAAGCGGCGACAGCUCUUCGCAUUGUCUGCAAAGCGUGGCGGGGGUCUCUGCUGGAGCGGAGCGAUGGGAGUUUUCGUUGUAGCAACAUUGCCACCUAGUGCUGCCGUGAUGCAGUUCCGACACCGGGAAAUCCGGCUCUUGAGCAACCGAAGCAGCAGAACAGGUUGGUGUGACUUCCUCAUUCCGUAUUUUAGCCACGCUGCCACCUCUCUUCCCUCGGUAUUCUCACUUUUAGUGAGAAAGAGGGAAUAUGCCUCUCCUGAAAUAACGGGAAUAACUCAAAGCUCGCCGGCUGGCUUUCACAACGGAGCUUUCUCUAAAGUAUUUCCAAGUAAUUUUUUGGAAGCUGGUUCCAAUUUUCAGGCUACUGCUGAGGAGCUGGUUUGAACACAACAAUGGAGGCCCCUAAUUCAAUGUUGGCUUUGAAUGGAGGCAGGCUGUGAUGGUGAUACGUCACAACGAACUGGGAGGUGAUGGAGGAGGUAUGGAGGAGCGGACCCACCUAGAAAUGGCUCACCUCUGUGGUGGGUGUGGGAAGUCACUGGGUUUCAGAACAACCCAAUGGCUUAGCCUCACAUUAACUAAAGCCAUCCGUGAGAAACUGUCUUGUGAAUUUGCAUGAAACAUAUUUCUUGGGUUAGGCAGGAAAUCAAAAUUUCUUCAAGGAAGCUGAUACUAAAACCACUCUGAAAACGAAGUCUCCGAAGGCCUUACCUCACACAACACAGCCACAAACACCUGCUUCCGCUUCAGUUUCUCCUCCUAUUCAAAACUAAAGAGAGUAUUUCCAGAUCUCUGGAGCAGCUGUUCAUUUUAAGCCAGAUACGUAGCAGUAAGACACUCACUGAUGGCCUGAGGAUGGGAAAACACUACAUUUAUCAAAAUAUUCUGAUUUCCUCACUUAGACAGUUGCUGGGUAGAGCAAUGGAAGUCUUUACCCAGAUUUUUCAUGCAGCAUUUUGAAUCCUGAGUUAGAAACCAGUGAGUGUAUGUGACAUAUUUCAGGAGAUGUUCGUCGAUAGUGAAUGCGAGAUGCAAAUUCAACUAAAGUCCACAGUUUAAUCCUCAUUAAGAGGCUCAUUGGUGUCCACUUUAUCAGGAUAAUGAGAUAGAAAACAUGAGUCCUUAGGGGGACCCUAAUUAGGCGUUCUGGCAGGCCUGUUCAAGCAAGUAUAUCAUUUGAGGGGAUUGCUACCAUUGCGUUUUGUUGCUGACAUGCAUUUGCAAAUGCAUCUUGUGCUUCUAAGCUUUCAGUGCAUCUGGGGAUCCAGUUCAAGUAGCUCUCAUGAUUUUUCAAAUCCUUCCUCCAAAUCCCUACAGCCUUUCAGUCCCUCUGCCCAGUCAGACAUCACCUAUAGGGCUCCUUAAAAAUAUAUAUAUCCUUGUUUCGGCAGUCAGUAUGGGAAGCAGUGAAUCUCACAGAUCCGAUGAAGGCUGAUCUUAGGGCAAAAGCACAGAAGUGAAAUCUCUGGUCAGAACAUACACCCUAUCCAAGAUGGGUUGAAUGGUUUAAUUUCUCUGUGCCUCUGAUCCAUGCCUGUAAAAUGGGGGGAAAAUACUUUGCUUGCUUGUGCUCCUUUUCCUCUCACUACAAUUGUAUAUCUA